rnacentral:rRNA from 1 species
ACUCCUACGGGAGGCAGCAGUGGGGAAUAUUGCACAAUGGGCGCAAGCCUGAUGCAGCCAUGCCGCGUGUGUGAAGAAGGCCUUCGGGUUGUAAAGCACUUUCAGUCGUGAGGAAGGCGGGUACGUUAAUAGCGUAUUCGUUUGACGUUAGCGACAGAAGAAGCACCGGCUAACUCCGUGCCAGCAGCCGCGGUAAUACGGAGGGUGCGAGCGUUAAUCGGAAUUACUGGGCGUAAAGCGCAUGCAGGUGGUUUGUUAAGUCAGAUGUGAAAGCCCGGGGGCGUCAACCUCGGAAUAGCAUUUGAAACUGGCAGACUAGAGUACUGUAGAGGGGGUAGGAAUUUCAGGUGUAGCGGUGAAAUGCGUAGAGAUCUGAAGGAAUACCGGUGGCGAAGGCGGCCCCCUGGACAGAUACUGACACUCAGAUGCGAAAGCGUGGGGAGCAAACAGGAUUAGAUACCCUGGUAGGACAGUG